rnacentral:rRNA from 1 species
UACGGAGGGUGCGAGCGUUGUCCGGAAUCACUGGGCGUAAAGGGCGCGUAGGCGGCCGUGUAAGUCACUUGUGAAAUCCCGGGGCUCAACUCCGGGGCUGCAGGUGAGACUGCAUGGCUAGAGCUUGGUAGAGGCGAGUGGAAUUCCCGGUGUAGCGGUGGAAUGUGUAGAUAUCGGGAAGAACACCGGUGGCGAAGGCGGCUCGCUGGGCCAAUGCUGACGCUGAGGCGCGAAAGCGUGGGGAGCAAACAGG